ACGGAAGGCAGCAGUGGGGAAUAUUGGACAAUGGGCGAAAGCCUGAUCCAGCGACGCCGCGUGAACGAUGAAGUAUUUCGGUAUGUAAAGUUCUAUCAGCAGGGAAGAUAAUGACGGUACCUGACUAAGAAGCACCGGCUAAAUACGUGCCAGCAGCCGCGGUAAUACGUAUGGUGCAAGCGUUAUCCGGAUUUACUGGGUGUAAAGGGAGCGUAGGCGGCUUUGCAAGUCUGAUGUGAAAGCCCGGGGCUCAACUCCGGUAUUGCAUUGGAAACUGUAGAGCUAGAGUGUCGGAGGGGUAAGUGGAAUUCCUAGUGUAGCGGUGAAAUGCGUAGAUAUUAGGAGGAACACCAGUGGCGAAGGCGGCUUACUGGACGAUUACUGACGCUGAGGCUCGAAAGCGUGGGGAGCAAACAGGAUUAGAUACCCUGGUA
rnacentral:rRNA from 1 species